rnacentral:sRNA from 1 species
UGCUGGUGAACAACGCCGCUGUCGCCCUGCUGCAGCCCUUCCUGGAGGUCACCAAGGAGGCCUUUGACAGAUCCUUUGAGGUGAACCUGCGUGCGGUCAUCCAGGUGUCACAGGUGAGCUGCCCUGUGGGCUGGACGGGAAUUCUCGUGAGUGAUGCCAGCUCUGCCUCACGGUCUCGCUGCAAUUCCAGAUUGUGGCCAGGGGCUUAAUAGCCCGGGGAGUCCCAGGGGCCAUCGUGAAUGUCUCCAGCCAGGGCUCCCAGCGGGCAGUAACUAACCAUAGCGUCUACUGCUCCACCAAGGGUGCCCUGGACAUGCUGACCAAGGUGAUGGCCCUAGAGCUCGGGCCCCACAAGGUGAGCAGGGCUGGGGUACCUCCCCCAACCUAGGGCACCCCACUUGCCCUGCUGACCCCAGCUGUCCCGGUGUAGAUCCGAGUGAAUGCAGUAAACCCCACAGUGGUGAUGACGCCCAUGGGCCAGGCCGCCUGGAGUGACCCCCACAAGGCCAAGACUAUGCUGGACCGAAUCCCACUUGGCAAGUUUGCUGAGGUAGAGCACGUGGUGGACGCCAUCCUCUUUCUGCUGAGUGACCGAAGUGGCAUGACCACGGGCUCCACUUUGCCGGUGGAAGGGGGCUUCUGGGCCUGCUGAGCUCCCUCCACACACCUCAAACCCCAUGCCGUGCUCAUCCUACCCCCAAUCCCUCC